UUCUUAAGCUAUUUCAACAAAGAGUUCCUUUUUUUAUAUUUGUUAACUAAAAAAAUUAGCUUGGACAGCUGUUCUAUUUAAAAAACAUAAGAAAAAAAGGAAAACAUCAUACAUUAAAGUUCAGUAUUGAAGUAACUUGUAGCUGCUAGGGGGGUUCACAGGGCAACAAGUGCAAUGACUGCCUUACUUUACUUCAAGGAAGUGUUUUCGUCGAAUUUCUGUUGGCCUCACAGCUGACAUUUGAAUUUUGAUUAUUUUUAAUAUCAACUAGACCGACUGUAGAGUAUCUCACGUGGGGCCUCAAGUGUGAACGUCCCUUGUUUGCUGCAUAUACACACAACUCAAGGUAUGCAAGUGUGGGUAAAGUACUGUUGAGGUCUUGCUUGUAUGGCAUGCACCUCCCUAUCCGUGUGUAUUGAUGUGUGAACGAUAUGUACUUAAUACUGUCAUUCAAUUUUAACGUAAAUUUAGUCUGAUUUCUUCUCUGUUCUUUAUAGUCAACGUUUACGGUUCGGUACGGGUGCGGUAUUCGUUUGAAAUAUAAUUUCGAAAAAAAACACAAAGUGCGACGAUUUCAUAAAUACAAAAAACAAAAAAUAUUUUUUUAUAUAAAAUUUUUGUGAUAUUCGGCGUUUAUUUUUUUCGGUUUUUUUCCCACUCCCAAAUUUUUUUUUUUUAGUUUUAAAAUACGAAACAAAAAUAAAAACAACAAAGAUACACACUACCCUAUUGGUGUUGUUUGAAUUGUAACAAAGAAAUACAGUUUUUGCGUAAAGUUGCACCAACUGCAGGAACAGGAAGUUCCCAAGCCAUCACCACCACCACCACCACCACUACACCUUGUAGCAAUAUUCCAAUUGUAGAUAAGAGUCUAAUUAAUAGCAACAACACCUACAAUCCCGAAAACAACAACAAGAACAACAACAACACCACGACCA